UGGGGAAUAUUGCACAAUGGGCGCAAGCCUGAUGCAGCCAUGCCGCGUGUGUGAAGAAGGCCUUCGGGUUGUAAAGCACUUUCAGCGGGGAGGAAGGCGAUAAGGUUAAUAACCUUGUCGAUUGACGUUACCCGCAGAAGAAGCACCGGCUAACUCCGUGCCAGCAGCCGCGGUAAUACGGAGGGUGCAAGCGUUAAUCGGAAUUACUGGGCGCAAAGCGCACGCAGGCGGUCUGUCAAGUCGGAUGUGAAAUCCCCGGGCUCAACCUGGGAACUGCAUUCGAAACUGGCAGGCUAGAGUCUUGUAGAGGGGGGUAGAAUUCCAGGUGUAGCGGUGAAAUGCGUAGGGAUCUGGAGGAAUACCGGUGGCGAAGGCGGCCCCCUGGACAAAGACUGACGCUCAGGUGCGAAAGCGUGGGGAGCAAACAGG
rnacentral:rRNA from 1 species